UACGGAAGGCAGCAGUGGGGAAUAUUGCACAAUGGGCGCAAGCCUGAUGCAGCCAUGCCGCGUGUAUGAAGAAGGCCUUCGGGUUGUAAAGUACUUUCAGUCGUGAGGAAGGUGUUAAGGUUAAUAACCUUAGCAAUUGACGUUAGCGACAGAAGAAGCACCGGCUAACUCCGUGCCAGCAGCCGCGGUAAUACGGAGGGUGCGAGCGUUAAUCGGAAUUACUGGGCGUAAAGGGCACGCAGGCGGUUAAUUAAGUUGGAUGUGAAAUCCCCGGGCUUAACCUGGGAACGGCAUUCAAGACUGGUUAGCUAGAGUCUUGUAGAGGGGGUAGAAUUCCAUGUGUAGCGGUGAAAUGCGUAGAGAUGUGGAGGAAUACCGGUGGCGAAGGCGGCCCCUGGACAAAGACUGACGCUCAUGUGCGAAAGCGUGGGGAGCGAAACAGGGAUUAGAUACC
rnacentral:rRNA from 1 species